rnacentral:rRNA from 1 species
UACGUAGGGGGCUAGCGUUGUCCGGAAUCAUUGGGCGUAAAGCGCGUGUAGGCGGUCCGUUAAGUCCGCUGUGAAAGUCGGGGGCUCAACCCUCGGAUGCCGGUGGAUACUGUCGGGCUUGAGUACGGAAGAGGCGAGUGGAAUUCCUGGUGUAGCGGUGAAAUGCGCAGAUAUCAGGAGGAACACCAAUUGCGAAGGCAGCUCGCUGGGACGUUACUGACGCUGAGACGCGAAAGCGUGGGGAGCGAACAGG